ACUUUUACAAUGAGGAAAAAGGAAGGACUAGCAGAUUACAGAUAUUUUCCUGAGCCUGACCUACCUGAAGUUAUUCUGACAAAAGACUAUGUUGACAAAAUUCAACAAGUUUUGCCUGAGCUCCCAGAAGCAAAACGCAGACGAUAUGAAAAAUUGGGUCUCAACAUGCAAGAUGUUCUCUUUCUUGCCAAUGACAAUCAUGUUGCUGAAUUUUUUGAUGCUUCUGUUGAGAAUGGUGCUGAUGCAAAGUUGGCUGCCAACUGGAUUAUGGGCGACAUUGCAGCUUUUCUGAAGAAUGAAUGACUUUCAAUGAAUGAAAUCAAAUUAACACCAGUAGAGCUUUCUGAGUUAAUAACUUCAAUAAAAAAUGGAACCAUUAGUGGGAAGAUUGGGAAGGAGAUACUUUUUGAGCUUUUUUCAAAAGGUGGAACGGUAAAGUCAUUGAUAGAAGAGAAGGAUUUAGUUCAG